rnacentral:hammerhead_ribozyme from 1 species
AUCCAGUUGACGAGUCACAAAUAGGAUGAAACGCACGUCCUGGAU